rnacentral:rRNA from 1 species
UACGAAGGGUGCAAGCGUUACUCGGAAUUACUGGGCGUAAAGCGUGCGUAGGCGGUGAGUUAAGUCUGUCGUGAAAUCCCCGGGCUCAACCUGGGAAUGGCGAUGGAUACUGGCUCGCUAGAGUGUGAUAGAGGAUGGUGGAAUUCCCGGUGUAGCGGUGAAACGCGUAGAGAUCGGGAGGAACAUCAGUGGCGAAGGCGGCCAUCUGGAUCAACACUGACGCUGAGGCACGAAAGCGUGGGGAGCAAACAGG